CGUGGGGUGGGACGUAUCUCUGAACCAGGAGGAUGGCGUGCUGCUGUCAAGGCCGGGUCUCUGGCGGUAGUGCUGGCGGUAGCUCUGGCUCUGCUUAAACUCCAAAGGUUUCCCACUGUCCUCAGGAAAAAGUGCAGACUCCUUAGCAGUAGCCACCUCUCCAGCUUCUUUGCUUUGCUUCCCAAUUCGCUGGGUCUCCCGAAAAAUGACCCACUUGCCCCCAAGGGUCAGGUUAUUUCACACAUUUGGGCCUCUGCUUUUGCGACUCCCUUGCAGUGAACAGCCUUGCCACACACCUCAGGUGGACUGGCAGAGGAGGUGGACGACAAAGUUCUUCAUGCUGCAUUUAUUCCUUUUGGAGACAUCACAGAUAUUCAGAUUCCUCUGGAUUAUGAAACAGAAAAGCACCGAGGAUUUGCUUUUGUUGAAUUUGAGUUGGCAGAGGACGCUGCAGCAGCUAUCGAUAACAUGGUAUGGCUGGGAAUCUUAAUUCUAACUAAAGUUGCUUUUUGGUGGUACAGAGGGUCCUUAUUCAUAUAUCAGUGUUCUGGACUUCCAAAGUUACAAGGUUGCAUGGGGAGAAUGAAUCUGAGCUUUUUGGACGUACAAUUCGUGUCAAUUUGGCCAAACCAAUGAGAAUUAAGGAAGGCUCUUCCAGGCCAGUUUGGUCAGAUGAUGACUGGUUGAAGAAGUUUUCUGGGAAGACGCUUGAAGAGAAUAAAGAGGAAGAAGGGUCAGAGCCUCCCAAAGCAGAGACCCAGGAGGGAGAGCCCGCUGCUAAAAAGGCCCGGUCAAAUCCUCAGGUGUACAUGGACAUCAAGAUUGGGAACAAGCCGGCCGGCCGCAUCCAGAUGCUCCUGCGUUCCGAUGUCGUGCCCAUGACCGCAG
rnacentral:sRNA from 1 species